rnacentral:tRNA from 1 species
UAGUAAAAUAGACAUUACACUGCCUCGUCAAGACAAAAUUGUGGGUUAAACCCCCGCGGGCCCUG